GUGGGCACCUCAUGUGAAUUUGAGUGGAACCAGCGUUGGACUGUCACCCUGGUUCAGGGCUGAUUCCUGCCUUGUGCCCGAUACUGUUGGAAUAGGCUUUGCUCCACUGUGCCCUCAAAUUGAAUUACGUGGGUCUCAUAAUGUUAUGUUUGCUAUGUUAGAUUAGGCACACUGAAGACAUUAAAGCACUCUGGUCCCAAUGUGUCAAGAGAGUAUCGGCAACAGAAGUAAAGCAGGCUGUUAAACUCCUCUUCUUUGAUUUUGAUUCCAUGUGUUUGAAUGAUGUUUUCUCUAAGUGUCCUUCUCCUGUCUUCUAACUCAGAUGUUGGCAUUUACUGUCAUGUCCUUGGCAUAAUCUAAAGAGAUUUUUUAAAAUAUCAGUGUACUGUCUAAAUAUCUGAAUAAAGAUUUUGAAAUAUCAAAA